GGGCUUCCCUCCUCCGCCAGGCGCGUGCGGUCUCUCCCCGCGGCCCGGUUCGCAGACCCCAGGGGACAGGCGAGGCCAAGACGUGACCCAGGGUGUGCUGUGAGUCAGCAGCAUCCCCCUGGGCGCGCCCUCGAGGCCGCAAUCCCCGCCCUCGGCCCACACCUUCACCCGCAAAGGGGAAGGGGGCGGGUAUCCAGCUGGCGCUGAUUUUUAUCGCCCACAGCCCCUGGGACCUGUAGGCGUCCAAGGCAGGGCCCCUAUCACAAGAGUGACAGCAUUUCAGCUCCGUGUUUUGUCUCCAGCGCUUAGGAUGUGAUCCACCACCUCUGACCCUAACUGGACUCUCCCUCAGAAUCCCCGCAGCGCGUUAUGGACACUAGACCUUGGCAGAGGGUACCUUCUAUUGUGUAUAUGACUCUUCAUGCCAUAUAAGAGCCCUCAGAGCGUCAGGUUAACAUUAUGUACAUCUUUGCAUUUCAACAGCACCAAGCACAACGCUGCAUGCCUGGGGGGUAAUCUCUCAAACCGAUACCCACCCUCCAAAACCCACCCAAGGAAGCCCAUCUGUUUCAACGCCCAGUGACUUUCCCCGAAACCACAGUGCCCCCUACCUCUUCUUUGUCCGAUUCUUUGAUCUGGUAUCUGCACGGCUCUUUUCCCCCAGCUUCUCCUCCUCCUUGUUCUUUAGGCAUCUUCCUGAUGCACCUUGUUGCCCCUUGAUCUUCCACUCGAGCCACUUGUGGCUAGAACACGAAGUGCUUGGUGAUCUAGAAGCUGAUACCUGUAACUCAUCACAUUUUCCUAGAUACAGAGAAUGGAGGGUCCCUGGGAAAGAAAAGAAGAUUCAGGUACCAGCGUCUGGGCAGUGCUUGAGCUGCAGGAACUGGGCCCAGCCCUCAACAGAACUCUGACCUGACCUCCCCAGUGGACUUCUCUGUAUUAGCUCCUUCUGCUGCAGCAGCAAAUACUUUCAACUGCAACUCCCUGCAGGUGGGGCACCCACCCAUCUCGGGGCAGGCUUUGUGCACCCCACUGACUACUCCCCAGGGCUACCACUGCCGGUGCCUGCAGGAUGAAAGGGGAGACCCCCGUGAACAGCACUAUGAGUAUUGGGCAAGCCCGCAAGAUGGUGGAACAGCUUAAGAUUGAAGCCAGCUUGUGCCGGAUAAAGGUGUCCAAGGCAGCAGCCGACUUGAUGACUUACUGUGAUGCCCACGCCUGCGAGGAUCCCCUCAUCACCCCGGUGCCCACUUCGGAGAACCCCUUCCGGGAGAAGAAGUUCUUCUGUGCCCUCCUCUGAGUUGCCCUGUCCCUCCACACAAGCUCCUCACCUGUCCCUCUCCUGGGCCCUCCCUUAGGUUAGUAACUGUCGUGAGUCCCUGAGGGUCCCCGCAUCCCACCCCUAGCCCUGUCCGACCCUGUGAGGUUGUCCGAAGCACAAGGCUCUCCAUCACCGAUCUGUCGACCCCGAGAACCCCCUGACCCAGGGACCCCUUAGUUCUAUCCCCAGAAGGGCCGCCAGACUCUGCCAGCGUCCUGCCUGCAGGCUUCUCUGUGACCCGCUCAGACAAUGGAGAGAGGCGCGGGCCGGGUGCUGGCUCCCAGUCUCACCUGGAGCUAUGAGAAGGGUAAAGCCAUUUGAAGAAUAAAGGUAUCCAGAGUCUCAGAAGACAGCUCCUGUGGUAGCCUUCUUGGGGAGAGGAUCAUCAGUCUGUGGAUCUGGGAAUGUGUGCGGCAGGUGAAAGACUUGCCAUUCCCCGGGAAAAGGGCGGUCAAACCAGGCUAGACAUCGCCUAGGAUGGGAGAUCGCCGGGACUGGGGAGACGGCGGGCGCGAGAGAGCCUCAAGUGGGAGAAUUAAGUCACGACACCCAGAAGCUGCGGAGAGCAGUCACACACACACACGCACACGCGCGCGCGAGAGCACUGAACACAAGUGAAAAUGAAAACAGACCGAACAGGAUGGAUUUAGGGAGGGCAGUCGCAGACCGCAGGAACUCAGGAACCCAGGGGAGGAGCUCGGCUCUGGUUCCUGCGAAGGGGCCGGUUUUACUUCUAAGAUGGCAGCGCCCACAGCGUGCCCCUUUCCAAGAUGGCCGUCGCCAUAGGACGCGCGCCAAUAUGGCAGCCGCGCGUCACUGGGUUUCACCGUACAGGGCGUCCCAGCUAGCCCCAUACGUAAAAUGGCGGCCCCAGGCAGCCAGAGUCAGUGCGGUCCCAUCUGUGCUCAUCUGGUCUCAAAAUGGCUGCCCCUGCCCUCGCCAACUUGAUGCCCAUUCCUAUGCGGCCCAGAGUCUGGAAGCCGACGUCCCCCCGGAUCCAGGCCCAGGGGCACCCAAUGAAAUUGCGGCACUUUCAGGAACAGCAGCUUUGCAGCUGUUGAUGGAGUUCUGAACCCUAACAGGUCCUGGAGAUCAUCUAAUUAAUUACCUCAUCCUGGAGAUGAAGAAGUAGGGAAAAGUAAUCUGGUUGCCCUCCUGAAGUGGGGCCCUACCUCCAUUCUGUUCAGGAGUCCCCAUCAAUUCCUUCUUGGUGU